rnacentral:rRNA from 1 species
UACGAAGGGGGCUAGCGUUGCUCGGAAUCACUGGGCGUAAAGGGUGCGUAGGCGGGUCUUUAAGUCAGGGGUGAAAUCCUGGAGCUCAACUCCAGAACUGCCUUUGAUACUGGCGAUCUUGAGUCCGGGAGAGGUGAGUGGAACUGCGAGUGUAGAGGUGAAAUUCGUAGAUAUUCGCAAGAACACCAGUGGCGAAGGCGGCGACCCGGGUAGAUACUGACGCUGAGGUGCGAAAGCGUGGGGAGCAAACAGG